AGUCAUCAACCCUUCCCGUUUUGUGCGGGACGCGGUUGGAGCUGGGGGCGUGCGGCCGCGAGGCCGCUCCCUUCAAAUGCAUCGGUUGGACCUGUGGGUCGAACUCGACUGGGCGUUGUACCAUCCUCGCUCUCCCCGAGACGUUCCCCUUCCGUGUCCUUCCACGACCUGCUGUAGAGCGGCGGUCAAAACCAAACUUUGAA
rnacentral:misc_RNA from 1 species